UGGGGAAUUUUGGACAAUGGGGGAAACCCUGAUCCAGCCUUCCCGCGUGUGCGAUGAAGGCCUUCGGGUUGUAAAGCACUUUUUGGCAGGAAAGAAAACGUCGCGGGUUAAUACCCCGCGGAACUGACGGUACCUGCAGAAUAAGCACCGGCUAACUACGUGCCAGCAGCCGCGGUAAUACGUAGGGUGCAAGCGUUAAUCGGAAUUACUGGGCGUAAAGCGUGCGCAGGCGGUUCGGAAAGAAAGAUGUGAAAUCCCAGAGCUUAACUUGGAACUGCAUUUUUAACUACCGGGCUAGAGUGUGUCAGAGGGAGGUGGAAUUCCGCGUGUAGCAGUGAAAUGCGUAGAUAUGCGGAGGAACACCGAUGGCGAAGGCAGCCUCCUGGGAUAACACUGACGCUCAUGCACGAAAGCGU
rnacentral:rRNA from 1 species